UGAUCCUUCCGACGCCAGGCUCCACUCGCUACUGAUCCCGGGGACCAGGGCUGAUGGGAAUGGCAAAGGAAUGAUGACAGGCAGUGACAGAUCACUCUUGGCCGACUGGUGCAGCUGACAAGCGAUCUCUUAAAAUUAUUCGUUAACAGCCUCCAGUUGAUAUUUACAAUUCUGCAAAAAAAAGUGUUCUCGGUCCCUUUCCUCGGAGGCUGGAACAGUCCCUCGUAAAGUGCUUUUAUACGGGGUCACCUCUGAAAUCGUGACACGUGACAGCAGGUAGAUGUGGAUUAAAGCCUGUGCGGUGUGCGUGUCAGCUCAAGGAGGUCCUAUCGCCGACAAAAGAAAGCUGUGGUGUUAGAGGCCGUGUCCAGGUUGCCCUGACAUCUUCCUAUGGAGCAGGGGGUACAUGGAAGCAAAGAGCACCAGCUCGAAGAUUAGACAGGAAUGAGCGUGGAGGCUGACUUAUGACAGGGUGGGUGAGAACAUCCUAGUAGGGCAGAAAUGGUCCAGCUCCAGAAAGGAUGUGACUCCUUAAAUGUGCACACUGCUCAAAACUCAUCCAACUGUCCACUUGAAAUCUGUACAUUUUAUUGUCUAUAAAUGUGCUUAAAUAAAAUUGACCGUACAAAGAAAAACAGUUACAAUAAAAUUUCCCUCAUCACUUUCAAUUAUGCUCAGUUGGAAAAGGGCGGGCCCAAAGUACUGUCUCUUUCCUUUGCUUGUUUUAUUGGAGUGUAAUUGCUUUA